rnacentral:lncRNA from 1 species
AAAAGAAAAGUGCUCUCUUGGCUGAGCUCUUUGGAGCCAUCAGAACCCAUCCCUGCCCUGAGGGACUUCACCUGAGGACAGACGAAGAACCAGAAGGAGCAAAAUCCUCUACCCUGCUGGUGGAAUGACGUGAUCCUUGGGUGCAGCCUCACUUGGGACUUCUGUUAUUCUUUGCACUGUGAGAAUAUAUUGAGCAACACCACAGCAGCAGGUGAUGAGAAGUGCCUUGCAGUGACUAACGCAGCUUUGUGCACUGGAUUUUACAAGCUCUCCUGUAUCUCGGCAUGUUUGUUUGAAGAAGCUAAUUAAAUUACUGCAACAAGGUACAGAACAGUUUGUUGUUUGUUUGGACAGUUUGGAACUUCCUGCUCACAACAGAGACUGGAUAUGGCACAAUUCAGGAGCACUGCUCAGACCACCAAGUUUUCCUUGAUCAAACAGAUCAGUUUCCACGUCUUGUGUUCUAUGCAGCAUUCAGGCUUCAGCAUCAUAAGCUGUCAGUUCCACUAAUUCAUGGUAUCUUCCUCAAGGCUUAGUGCCACCCCUCCACAUUCUUCAGCUCCAUUAUUUGUACUGGCAGGGCAUUACUGCUUACAACAAAAUAUGUGCACAAUACGGC